rnacentral:rRNA from 1 species
GGUCAGCAUACUACGGUGAAUACGUUCCCGGGCCUUGUACACACCGCCCGUCAAACCAUGAGAGUUGGCAACACCCGAAGUCGGUAGUCUAACCGCAAGGAGGACGCCGCCGAAGGUGGGGGUUGAUGAUUAGGGUUAAGUCGUAACAAGGUACC